AAACUGCGAUAAGUAGUGUGAAUUGCAUUUAGUGAGUCAUCGAAUCUUUGAACGCACCCUGCACUCACUGGUAUUCCGGUGAGUACGCCUGUUUCAGUAUCAUUGAAAACACACAAUCAAAACAUUUUCUUUGGUUUGAUUGGCUUUGGGUCUAUCAAAAAGUUUGGCUUGUUUCUUACAAGCCAAGCGGCCUGAAAUAUAUUGUCUGGCUAAUUGCAUCGUUGAUGAUCGCUAUUAGACUUUGGCUUUUUUAAAUGAACUGGAGGUUGAUUAACCAGUUUUAGCUUUAGUCAAAUGGUCAUUGUAAAAAAAAUCUCGAUCUUGGCUAGGUGUUUAUAGCCGAAAAUUUUUUUUUGGCUAUAACCGAAACCAAUAUAAUCACAUUUAGUUAUCGAUCUGAAAUCAGGUGGGACUACCCGCUGAACUUAAGC
rnacentral:misc_RNA from 1 species